AGGACCUCUCUACAUUACUAGUGCGAACAAACCACUUGUACUAAGCUGCGAUCUAGUCUAAUAAACACGCCGUACUCUGUUAUACUAGCCGAAGAAUUUUUUUAGCCUGCUGCGUUCUGAUUGGUGGAACCAGGCCUCCCACGGAUCACGCCUCUCCACCGUUCAUUCUUACUCGAUCCAACAGUCCCUACUCCUUCUACUAUCUAUUUUGUGCUUUCGUUGGUACCUUAUCCUCUCACACGAACACGAGCACCAUACCAGCAGCAGCGCACUCGAGUACCUUCUAGGCUCUCCGCCGCUGACCGCCGCCGGCUGCGCGACGGGCCGUCGCCCGCGCCUCCCACCACAGCACGCCGCAAUGGAGGCCGAGCGCCCAUGGCGUCACCCGAGGACACCUUCGAGCCGCCGUUCUCCUUCAAAUUCGUCGGGAUCCAGCCUGAUCCGGACGGAUCCGGAUGCCGGCGGCCCAUUCCCGACCUCCCUGCCUCGCCUGGUUUGUCGGCCACUCCGAUGUCGUCAUCUUUGUCACGGGAUCCAGCGCUACCGAUGGCUGGCCUCCUCCUCGCCUGGAUGUGACCCCCCACGCUGUCGCCUCCAAUCCAAGCAGCGGCAGCGAACACCUCGACAAGGGCAGUUUGCCAGAUCAGUGGCCAGAGAAAAGCCAUGGCGAUGAAGUCUGAUUGAUGAUCCGCGAGCGCUCGGCGGCGCUUGAUGUGGUGGAUGCAGAAUAGUAUAGCUCCGGGUAGAGUACUAGGCCAGAUCUGGAAAAAAAUCUGUACUUCCAUUUUUUGUUGUGUAUUUCUUCCUUUUUUGAUAAAGAAGUUAUGUAUAUGGUAUAUAUAUAUAUAUAUGCAAACUCCUUUUUUCUA